GUCAUUUUCUAAAAGAAAGUUACUCUGUUUAUCAUACAGUUAGCCUCAAUUUUCUCUUUUAUAUAGUUCGACGGAUAAAAUGAUGUUUGCAACAACAAAAUCCUCUAAGUCCACAACUACCAGUGUUAUUGUUAGAAAAGAUGAAGAAGCUUUCAACAUGAAGGAUGUUUCGACGAAGAUUUGGUUUCGACAGAUUUAGUUAAGUUUCAAAUAAAGUGUAAUUUCCUUUUAAAGAGACAGGUUCAGAAAGCUCAGACACGCGGAAAGCAUACUGAAGCUCUCGAAGAGAAUGUGAUUUCUAGCUAGAAGUUGGUCUUUGCAGUUAUUUUUCUCUAUUUAUAUACAGUAAACGGGGGUCAUAAAUCUCAUUUACAAAAUUCAAAUACUCAAAGUACAAGCAUAGAGAGAAAAGAGUCGGAAUGUAUGUAACUUGAUUUGUUGAACUACCUUUAAUUCAAUACAAUUUACAUUUCUUUCAGUUUUUGCAUUUAAACUUUUAAGUCUUUUACUUGUUUUACAUUAUUGAUUUAUGUCGA
rnacentral:lncRNA from 1 species